CUGCUGACCAGGUGAGAGCGCAGGCUGGUUCCCCCGCCACUCUCUGCUGACCAGCUCUUCCGCGACCACGCGAGGACGCAGUGACGCGAGGACAAGUGGACUCGAGGACGCCGCGUGCGCGCGGCGUGGGAGGUUCUCCAGAAGAGACCCGCCAGAGUCCACUCCUCUGGUUCUUGUUGUCCAGCUCACCAGUGGAGGAGGUGGGGCGUGGCCUUUGACCUCUGGGCGGCAGUGGAGCCAAGCGUCACGUCACUCGGUGGUAGAAGUUCCAGCAGUUGAGCGACAGUUUUGAAGGGUGGACGAGUCCGUCAUCUUCAACACCUUCUGUGACUCCCCUCUUCCCCUUUUUCUCCCCUUCUCUCUUUCUUCUCCCUCCCUCUCUCCCCCUCUACCUCCCCCACCUCUCUCCCUUCUCCCUUCUCCCGCGUCCCACACUGGAACCGUCUCAGAACAGUCGAACUCGUGUGAGCAGAUUCGGCGGCAGCUGUGCGGCGCAGGUCACAUGUUUGUGCGUCCGUGGAGCCGAUUGUUGUUGCCGUUUCCUGGGAAACGGUAAUGAAGCGCUGCGGCGCGGCGUGUGGCGCACGGACGCUCUCCGCCAUUAGAGAUUAAUGGCAAUAGAAGAAGAGGUCGGCGCGGCGCGGCGGCGAUAUUAACAGGAAGCAGGCCGGCGACGCCUCUAACCCACAAUAUCGUUCACUGACAGGAUGUUUGUCAUUCAGCGCACAAGCGCCAACAUCAUGAUCCGUCAGGCUCCUCCUCCUCCCGCUGCUGUUUGUGUGUCCUCCUCUAAUAGUCCCAUCAUCCUCCAUUCUCUCCUCUCUUCGCGCCUUAAUUUGCCGCCGUUUAUCCUCCGUUUACUCUUCUCUUUUCCGUCCGUCGCUCUGUCGACGGAGACACAGGUGCUGGAGUCGCACAAGUACUGGAGUGGAGCAGGAAGUAGGAGGUGUAGUUGUGACCACGCCAGCAGGAUGGUCCUCUUGUAUCACUGUUGACCUUUGACCUUUGCUCCGCUGCCCUUUCUUCAGCUCCUCCUCUCCUCCUCCUCCUGCUUGGCAUUUCCUCCCUCCUCCACCUUCUCCUCCCUUCAUCCCACGAGGAUCCAACUUUAUUGCUGCAGCUUUACAGAACCAACAGCAGCAAAUUAAACCGUGUGUGUGUGUGUGUGUGUGUGUGUGUGGAUGCUCUGUAGCUCCAUCAUCCAGCAACGGCACUGUCACAUGACUAUGUC